GCGUUGAAACGCUCGGUUCGACAAUCCGACGAGUGUACGCGAAGUUAUUGACGAAACGGUCAGUUUUGGUACAGAUAGCCGCAGCACGCGGGAUAAGCGCCUAAAAAUUGUGAGAUCGGAACCGGAGCAUCUUGGAGUCAAGGAAUAAGCACCGGAAAAGACGGAUCGCGAUUCGGAGGUCGUUCGCUAAGUCGCGCAAGAGUUCGGGCCCAAACGGGUGCCGAGUGCCGCGGGAGGCCGAUUGCAAGUGUCGACAAGCAAUCGGAACGCGAGUUAAGGUGGGUUGUGCUUACCGAAGCGACUAGGUCGCCCUUUAUGUCUUAGCAAUGUAAUCUCAUGUUGAUGCAUGUGCAUGUAGACAAGACUAAAUGGUGCAUUAAUAAAUAUGCAUA
rnacentral:lncRNA from 1 species